ACGAACGCUGGCGGCGUGCCUAACACAUGCAAGUCGAGCGGGGAUUAUCGAAUGAAGUUUUCGGAUGGAUUUUGGUAAUUCUAGCGGCGGACGGGUGAGUAACGCGUGAGCAACCUGCCUUUCACAGGGGGAUAACGCAUCGAAAGGUGCACUAAUACCGCAUGAGACCACGCUCCCGACAUGAGAGAGGGGUCAAAGGAGCAAUCCGGUGAGAGAUGGGCUCGCGUCUGAUUAGCUAGUUGGUGAGGUAACGGCCCACCAAGGCGACGAUCAGUAGCCGACCUGAGAGGGUGAUCGGCCACAUUGGAACUGAGAGACGGUCCAAACUCCUACGGGAGGCAGCAGUGGGGAAUAUUGGGCAAUGGGGGAAACCCUGACCCAGCAACGCCGCGUGAAGGAAGAAGGUUUUCGGAUCGUAAACUUCUAUCCUUGGUGAAAAUAGUGAUGGUAGCCAAGAAGGAAGCCCCGGCUAACUACGUGCCAGCAGCCGCGGUAAUACGUAGGGGGCAAGCGUUGUCCGGAAUGAUUGGGCGUAAAGGGCGCGUAGGCGGCCUGGUAAGUUUGAAGUGAAAGUCCUUCUUUUAAGGAGGGAACUGCUUUGAAAACUGUCGGGCUUGAGUGCAGGAGAGGUAAGCGGAAUUCCCGGUGUAGCGGUGAAAUGCGUAGAGAUCGGGAGGAACACCAGUGGCGAAGGCGGCUUACUGGACUGUUACUGACGCUGAGGCGCGAAAGUGUGGGGAGCAAACAGGAUUAGAUACCCUGGUAGUCCACACUGUAAACGAUGAAUGCUAGGUGUAGGGGGUAUCGACCCCUUCUGUGCCGGAGUAAACACAAUAAGCAUUCCGCCUGGGGAGUACGGCCGCAAGGUUGAAACUCAAAGGAAUUGACGGGGGCCCGCACAAGCAGCGGAGCAUGUGGUUUAAUUCGAAGCAACGCGAAGAACCUUACCUGCUCUUGACAUCUCCCUGACCGGCAAGUAAUGUUGCCUUUCCUUCGGGACAGGGAUGACAGGUGGUGCAUGGUUGUCGUCAGCUCGUGUCGUGAGAUGUUGGGUUAAGUCCCGCAACGAGCGCAACCCUUGUGAUCAGUUACUAACGGGUAGAGCCGAGGACUCUGAUAAGACUGCCGGGGACAACUCGGAGGAAGGUGGGGACGACGUCAAAUCAUCAUGCCCCUUAUGACCUGGGCUACACACGUGCUACAAUGGCCACGACAGAGAGAAGCGAAUUCGAGAGGAAGAGCGGAUCUCAAAAAAGUGGUCCCAGUUCGGAUUGUGGGCUGCAACCCGCCCACAUGAAGUCGGAGUUGCUAGUAAUCGCGGAUCAGCAUGCCGCGGUGAAUACGUUCCCGGGCCUUGUACACACCGCCCGUCACACCAUGGGAGUUGAUAGCACCCGAAGUCGGUGAGGUAACCGCAAGGAGCCAGCCGCCGAAGGUGAGAUCAAUGACUGGGGUG
rnacentral:rRNA from 1 species